ensembl:snRNA U6 U6 spliceosomal RNA
CUUGUUUCAGCAGUAGACUGACUAAAAUUGGAAUGAUACAGAGAAGAUUGGCACAGCCUUAGUGCAAGGGGACACCCAAAUACAUGAAGUAUACCAUACUUUU